AAAGCAAACCAUUACGACGUUACAAAGUUCAUAACCAACAUGACUGGAGGAAAAACAACAAAUUACAACACCAAAAUGUUUUGCAUCACUUAACCCUAAAUUAACAUAAACUGAGCAUCACCAAACUGUCAACAUAAGCCGAGCAUCACCAAAAUGAAUUGAAAGGCCACAAACUAAAUGUACUGCAUCACCUAACUGCAAACAAAAUAAAAAGAAAAAAAAAUUUAUUUUUGUAGCAUAAUGACCUUCUCCAUUCUCCAAUCAAUAAAUGUCGAAGAAUAAAACAUAAUCACCUGGAUAACAUAGCAUAUUAUAUAUAUAACUGAAAAAAGAGCAUCAACAUAUGAAAAGGAGCAUCAACUAGCUAGUCUACACAAAUACACAAUCUUCUUCUUAAUAUCAUUUGCGUGCAAUAAGAUGAUAGUAAGCCUUUUAUUUCACAUGGAUCACAUGAAAAAAAUGAACUUAAGUUGAAGAUCUUACCAAUUACCAAUAAGCCAACACAAUAAUCCAACAUUCCAACAAGCCAACAACAUAACCUGAAAUCAAAUUCAAACACACACGUUAAGACUGAUAUUUAGAAAAGUAAUACAAAAUUCAUAAAGUUAAACAAGAUAACACAAAAUUAUAACUAUUCAAGAUGUUACUAUAUACUUACAUCGUCAAACUUAUUUUAAACUUGAAACUCAGCCCGCAACCAAUUUGAGGCACAAAGAAGUCCUUCAACUGUGUCAUCACCUAAUGAAGCUCGAACAUCGUCAAACUUAUUUUGUUUACAUGUAUUGAUGUUACCUCAAGCAAGAAAAAAUAGAUAUGAAUGAUACUAGGUAACAAAUAGAUAUGAAUACCAUAAACACAAGAGUUAAGACCACCGAUUAUUAUUAAACAUACCAAGUAUUAUUACACAGUAAUGUAGUUUUC
rnacentral:lncRNA from 1 species